UACGUAGGUGGCAAGCGUUAUCCGGAUUUAUUGGGCGUAAAGGGAACGCAGGCGGUCUUUUAAGUCUGAUGUGAAAGCCUUCGGCUUAACCGGAGUAGUGCAUUGGAAACUGGGAGACUUGAGUGCAGAAGAGGAGAGUGGAACUCCAUGCGUAGCGGUGAAAUGCGUAGAUAUAUGGAAGAACACCAGUGGCGAAAGCGGCUCUCUGGUCUGUAACUGACGCUGAGGUUCGAAAGCGUGGGUAGCAAACAGG
rnacentral:rRNA from 1 species